rnacentral:rRNA from 1 species
GACGAACGCUGGCGGCGUGCUUAACACAUGCAAGUCGAACGGAAAGGCCCUGCUUUUGUGGGGUGCUCGAGUGGCGAACGGGUGAGUAACACGUGAGUAACCUGCCCUUGACUUUGGGAUAACUUCAGGAAACUGGGGCUAAUACCGGAUAGGAGCUCCUGCUGCAUGGUGGGGGUUGGAAAGUUUCGGCGGUUGGGGAUGGACUCGCGGCUUAUCAGCUUGUUGGUGGGGUAGUGGCUUACCAAGGCUUUGACGGGUAGCCGGCCUGAGAGGGUGACCGGCCACAAUGGGACUGAGAUACGGCCCAGACUCCUACGGGAGGCAGCGGUGGGGAGUAUUGCACAAUGGGCGGAAGCCUGAUGCAGCAACGCCGCGUGCGGGAUGACGGCCUUCGGGUUGUAAACCGCUUUCGCCUGUGACGAAGCGUGAGUGACGGUAAUGGGUAAAGAAGCACCGGCUAACUACGUG